GCAGUCCACCUGAGAAGGGCGGAGCAACCAACUGCAAGAUCACCUGCCCGAUUCAGGUGUGCCAUCAGACACUGCCGGGUCGACCUGGAAUCCAGAAAGCUCCUCUUCCAUCAUGAGGCUCCUGCACCUUCUCUUCCUGUUACUCAUAUGUCUUAUCCAGACGGUACCAGGGAAAGGAAAAAAGAAAAACCUUGAAUGUGAGAAAAUGGGUGGUGCCUGCAGGUAUCAGAACACCCACGGGUGUGUCAUCCUGCCUGGAGAGUGCCGGAGUCGGAAGAAACACUGCUGCAGACUCUAGUUUCAGCAUCGGAGUGUCCACAGCAGCACGAGACACUCCCCACCGCUGAGUCCUGUUUAAAAAGAGCUGCUGCUCACUCGGGUCCCGUGGGGUCUUUCUGAGUGCACGAGGUCAUGAACUGGAUGGGAAGGUUGGCUGGAAGUCUGGUCACACCACUCGUUAGCUGACUUACGCUGGACAGGCCUUGCCUUUCCUAGCUCUCAGUCUCUGCUCCUGUGACUGCUGAAAUGGAUGUUCCCCACAGCCU